rnacentral:rRNA from 1 species
UACGAAGGGGGCUAGCGUUGCUCGGAAUCACUGGGCGUAAAGGGUGCGUAGGCGGGUCUUUAAGUCAGGGGUGAAAUCCUGGAGCUCAACUCCAGAACUGCCUUUGAUACUGGCGAUCUUGAGUCCGGGAGAGGUGAGUGGAACUGCGAGUGUAGAGGUGAAAUUCGUAGAUAUUCGCAAGAACACCAGUGGCGAAGGCGGCUCACUGGCCCGGUACUGACGCUGAGGUGCGAAAGCGUGGGGAGCAAACCGG